rfam:Gasterosteus aculeatus cont1.016851, whole genome shotgun sequence.
GCUUACGGCCAUACCUCUCUGGCUCCGCCUGAUCUCGUCUGAUCUCAGAAGCUAAGCAGAGUAGGGC